rnacentral:rRNA from 1 species
AUGCAGUCGAACGAUGAAGCCCUUCGGGGUGGAUUAGUGGCGAACGGGUGAGUAACACGUGGGCAAUCUGCCCUUCACUCUGGGACAAGCCCUGGAAACGGGGUCUAAUACCGGAUAACACUUCCGUCCUCCUGGACGGUGGUUAAAAGCUCCGGCGGUGAAGGAUGAGCCCGCGGCCUAUCAGCUUGUUGGUGAGGUAAUGGCUCACCAAGGCGACGACGGGUAGCCGGCCUGAGAGGGCGACCGGCCACACUGGGACUGAGACACGGCCCAGACUCCUACGGGAGGCAGCAGUGGGGAAUAUUGCACAAUGGGCGAAAGCCUGAUGCAGCGACGCCGCGUGAGGGAUGACGGCCUUCGGGUUGUAAACCUCUUUCAGCAGGGAAGAAGCGAAAGUGACGGUACCUGCAGAAGAAGCGCCGGCUAACUACGUGCCAGCAGCCGCGGUAAUACGUAGGGCGCAAGCGUUGUCCGGAAUUAUUGGGCGUAAAGAGCUCGUAGGCGGCUUGUCACGUCGGUUGUGAAAGCCCGGGGCUUAACCCCGGGUCUGCAGUCGAUACGGGCAGGCUAGAGUGUGGUAGGGGAGAUCGGAAUUCCUGGUGUAGCGGUGAAAUGCGCAGAUAUCAGGAGGAACACCGGUGGCGAAGGCGGAUCUCUGGGCCAUUACUGACGCUGAGGAGCGAAAGCGUGGGGAGCGAACAGGAUUAGAUACCCUGGUAGUCCACGCCGUAAACGGUGGGAACUAGGUGUUGGCGACAUUCCACGUCGUCGGUGCCGCAGCUAACGCAUUAAGUUCCCCGCCUGGGGAGUACGGCCGCAAGGCUAAAACUCAA